GUUUUCCCCAGAUAUGGCAACCUCGACAGAAAGAUAUGCGAUUUCACUGGAUUUCCUGUUUCCGGAAUUCCGCACUUGCUGACUGGCUGUCGGCGAAUGAAAUAAACAAAGACCUACAAAUCAGACUCCAACACCUCCUCUCCUCACCUGCAAACAUGGACACUGGCCUGAGUCAGGAGAAAACAUCAGCUUUUAUCAAGCGCUUCCGCUCGGAGCCACGGUAUCUGCUCG